AGCUAGUUGGUGGGGUAAAAGCUCACCAAGGCGACGAUCUGUAGCGGGUCUGAGAGGAUGAUCCGCCACACUGGAACUGAGACACGGUCCAGACUCCUACGGGAGGCAGCAGUGGGGAAUUUUGGACAAUGGGGGCAACCCUGAUCCAGCCAUGCCGCGUGAGUGAAGAUGGCCUUCGGGUUGUAAAGCUCUUUCGGCCGGGAAGAAAUCGUAUCAGCUAAUACCUGGUGCGGAUGACGGUACCGGCAUAAGAAGCACCGGCUAACUACGUGCCAGCAGCCGCGGUAAUACGUAGGGUGCGAGCGUUAAUCGGAAUUACUGGGCGUAAAGCGUGCGCAGGCGGUUUUGUAAGACAGGCGUGAAAUCCCCGGGCUCAACCUGGGAACUGCGUUUGUGACUGCAAGGCUAGAGUACGGCAGAGGGGGGUGGAAUUCCACGUGUAGCAGUGAAAUGCGUAGAGAUGUGGAGGAACACCAAUGGCGAAGGCAGCCCCCUGGGUCGAUACUGACGCUCAUGCACGAAAGCGUGGGUAGCAAACAGGAUUAGAUACCCUGGUAGUCCACGCCCUAAACGAUGUCAACUAGGUGUUGGGAGGGUAAAACCUUUUAGUACCGGAGCUAACGCGUGAAGUUGACCGCCUGGGGAGUACGGCCGCAAGGUUAAAACUCAAAGGAAUUGACGGGGACCCGCACAAGCGGUGGAUGAUGUGGAUUAAUUCGAUGCAACGCGAAAAACCUUACCUACCCUUGACAUGUCAGGAACUUUCCAGAGAUGGAUUGGUGCUCGAAAGAGAACCUGAACACAGGUGCUGCAUGGCUGUCGUCAGCUCGUGUCGUGAGAUGUUGGGUUAAGUCCCGCAACGAGCGCAACCCUUGUCGUUAAUUGCCAUCAUUUAGUUGGGCACUUUAACGAGACUGCCGGUGACAAACCGGAGGAAGGUGGGGAUGACGUCAAGUCCUCAUGGCCCUUAUGGGUAGGGCUUCACACGUCAUACAAUGGUCGGUACAAAGGGUCGCCAAGCCGCGAGGUGGAGCUAAUCCCAGAAAGCCGAUCGUAGUCCGGAUUGCAGGCUGCAACUCGCCUGCAUGAAGUCGGAAUCGCUAGUAAUCGUGGAUCAGCAUGUCACGGUGAAUACGUUCCCGGGUCUUGUACACACCGCCCGUCACACCAUGGAAGCGGGUUCCGCCAGAAGUAGGUAGCCUAACCGCAAUGAGGGCGCUUACCACGGCGGGGUUCGUGACUGGGGUGAAGUCGUAACAAGGUAGCCGUAGGGGAACCUGCGGCUG
rnacentral:rRNA from 1 species